GCCCGUACCCCAAACCGACACAGGUGGUCAGGUAGAGAAUACUAAGGCGAUCGAGAUAACUAUGGUUAAGGAACUCGGCAAAAUGCCCCCGUAACUUCGGGAGAAGGGGGGCCCCUGCCGGUGAUCACUCUUGCAGUGUGAGCUGGUGUGGGCCGCAGAGACCAGUGAGAAGCGACUGUUUACUAAAAACACAGGUCCGUGCGAAGUCGUAAGACGAUGUAUACGGACUGACGCCUGCCCGGUGCUGGAAGGUUAAGAGGACCGGUUAGCCAGCAAUGGCGAAGCUGAGAAUUUAAGCCCCAGUAAACGGCGGUGGUAACUAUAACCAUCCUAAGGUAGCGAAAUUCCUUGUCGGGUAAGUUCCGACCUGCACGAAUGGCGUAACGACUUCUCAGCUGUCUCAACCAUAGACUCGGCGAAAUUGCAUUACGAGUAAAGAUGCUCGUUACGCGCGGCAGGACGAAAAGACCCCGGGACCUUCACUACAGCUUGGUAUUGGUGUUCGGUUCGGUUUGUGUAGGAUAGGUGGGAGACUGUGAAGCGGUGACGCCAGUUACUGUGGAGUCGUUGUUGAAAUACCACUCUGAUCGUAUUGGAUACCUCAACCUCGGACCAUGAUCUGGUUCAGGGACAGUGCCUGGUGGGUAGUUUAACUGGGGCGGUUGCCUCCUAAAAUGUAACGGAGGCGCCCAAAGGUUCCCUCAGCCUGGUUGGCAAUCAGGUGUCGAGUGCAAGUGCACAAGGGAGCUUGACUGUGAGACUGACAAGUCGAGCAGGGACGAAAGUCGGGACUAGUGAUCCGGCACCGGCAAGUGGAAGCGGUGUCGCUCAACGGAUAAAAGGUACCCCGGGGAUAACAGGCUGAUCUUCCCCAAGAGUCCAUAUCGACGGGAUGGUUUGGCACCUCGAUGUCGGCUCGUCGCAUCCUGGGGCUGGAGUAGGUCCCAAGGGUUGGGCUGUUCGCCCAUUAAAGCGGCACGCGAGCUGGGUUUAGAACGUCGUGAGACAGUUCGGUCUCUAUCCGCCGCGCGCGUAAGAAACUUGAGGAAGGCUGUCCCUAGUACGAGAGGACCGGGACGGACGAACCUCUGGUGUGCCAGUUGUUCCACCAGGAGCACCGCUGGUUGGCUACGUUCGGAAGGGAUAACCGCUGAAAGCAUCUAAGCGGGAAGCCUGUUCCAAGAUGAGGUUUCUCACCCCCUCGAGGGGGUAAGGCCCCCGGCAGACCACCGGGUUGAUAGGCCAGAACUGGAAGUACAGCAAUGUAUGCAGGUGACUGGUACUAAUAGGCCGAGGACUUACCACA
rnacentral:rRNA from 1 species